rnacentral:tRNA from 1 species
ACGCUUGUCAGUGGAAAAACUCGCCCUCUCACGGCGGGAACAGGGGUUCGAUUCCCCUUGGGCGUACCA